CCUCUGUGAAGUGAAGAGAAGAAUAAAGCCUACUUCACAAGGAGUAAAUGAGACGCACCAAGUUCUCAGCGCGGCGCUGGGCACGUAGCAAACCCUGGUGACGGUGGUAGGUGGUAACCGUGGGGAUAAGGAUAAAGGUAGUGAACGGUAACCAUGGUGAUGGCUGAAUGUGGUGAUGAUGGUGAUGAUGAUUUAAUGCUUGCUGACCGAGUGAACAAUGCAGGAGGAAAAGGGGGCUAUUAUCAGUUUCUAGAAGACUCCAGACAUGAUAAACUGGGUGUUGGAGGAAGAGGAAAUGGCAGCCGCAGGAAGCUUUUGUUUGGCAGGAGGAGGAAGAGCCGGGCCGCACCGAGAGGAGCCCCCAGUGCCACAUGUUCUGAGUUCCUCCUACCACGCCUGCCAGAGCCCAGGUGGGCGUGGGGCCCGAGGAAGCCCUUGCCACCCAGCGAGUGGGGCUCCAGAGGCCGGGCACUACCACCGGGAGAGGUGACAGCUGUCAGCACCGAGGAGAAGAACAUUCUGAGGCCCAAGAAUAGCCCGACCGCAAGACAGGGAGGUGCUGUCUCUGAAGCAUCGCCCUCCUCCCUGGAGCAGAAAAGACUGCAUAUUUGGAGACCCCGAGGUUUCCUGGAACCUCCAGGAGAAGAGGCUGUACCCCAGGUAGACCAGUUUCCCUGGUGGAUCCCCAAAGCGCUGCGCGUGGGGCCAGCGUCCUCGUGGAGGGGGGUCCACGGCUGUGCUGGUGCAUGUUCUGUUGAAGGCACCCUCCUCCCACAGCUGAUGUUGGCGACAAGAAAGCGAGACUUGUGCAAGCACCAUUAGAAGACAGCGCAUGCUUUUACUAUGCGCGCGAGACCCCGGGCCGUAAGGAAGUGUUGGCAGAGCCUGGAUCCCACCGCAAACUUCAGAAAGCACAGGGAAACUUCAGAUAGACCCCAGGGCUUACUUACAUCCUUGUGUGUUUGAUGGUUUGCUUGUUACUAACACUUGAGUGCCUUGGUAUCAGGCCCUGUUCUGGGAACAGGGAGGCGGGGUGGGGUGGAAUGGCAACUAGGAAGGACCUCUGCUCUCCCUUACAUCUAGGAGGGGGACAAGAGACAGUGAAGAAGGAGAUAAAGACAGACAGCAGAUACUUUCAUAUAGCAAUCAGUGGCAUAGAGAUCUUAAGUGUGGUCAUGGGACAGAGAUGUCCAGGCCUGGGUAUGGGGUAGUUGCUCCAGUUGGGUGGUCAGGGAGGCUUCCUGGAGGAGGUGACAUUAGAACGGAUCUCUCAGAGGUGAGAAACAGCCAGCCAUGCAAAGAUCGGGUGAAGGGUACUUUGGAGCACACACCCCAUCAAAUUGCAAAGUCCCCGAGGAAGGAGCAAGCAAGGAAGGGGAGAGUGGCUGGUG
rnacentral:lncRNA from 1 species